rnacentral:rRNA from 1 species
AUUGAACGCUGGCGGCAGGCCUAACACAUGCAAGUCGAACGGUAACAGGAAACAGCUUGCUGUUUCGCUGACGAGUGGCGGACGGGUGAGUAAUGUCUGGGAAACUGCCUGAUGGAGGGGGAUAACUACUGGAAACGGUAGCUAAUACCGCAUAACGUCGCAAGACCAAAGAGGGGGACCUUCGGGCCUCUUGCCAUCCGAUGUGCCCAGAUGGGAUUAGCUAGUAGGUGGGGUAACGGCUCACCUAGGCGACGAUCCCUAGCUGGUCUGAGAGGAUGACCAGCCACACUGGAACUGAGACACGGUCCAGACUCCUACGGGGGGCAGCAGUGGGGAAUAUUGCACAAUGGGCGCAAGCCUGAUGCAGCCAUGCCGCGUGUAUGAAGAAGGCCUUCGGGUUGUAAAGUACUUUCAGCGGGGAGGAAGGGAGUAAAGUUAAUACCUUUGCUCAUUGACGUUACCCGCAGAAGAAGCACCGGCUAACUCCGUGCCAGCAGCCGCAGUAA